AUCAGCAAAAACCGCAGUUGAAACCUUGUCACUUCUGCUCUCUCUUCAUUCUUCCUUCACAUGAAUCUAGCUGUGCUGUGUGACAGCCUGGAGAAAGAGUCAGUAGCUGUUCCUGAAUGCAUAGGGGGAUCCAUCUAACUACAUAGAACUUCCAGAAUAUUACCAAUUCAGCCACUUAAGAGUCCGUGAAAAAAUCUAGACCAAUAUGACUGCAAAUAGUUUUCCUUCCUAAUUACACAAAAUGGCUUCUCCGUCAGAGGGAAACCUGAGGAGCGGACUGUCUAUGAGAGGAAGCUCCAUCCUGCCACCACCGGAGCCCCAGCAUGCCUGGACUUAUCUCCACGUGCCCAGCUGCAACAUCCAGUUAGCCAAAAGAAUCUCUGAGGUGAAACACCACAGCUGUCACCUUGUGGUUCAGCUGCAGGGGCCAGAUAAACUCAGGUUUUAAAAUGAAUUUUUUGGACACAAUAUUGUCAUGGAAAUACUGCUGGGCUUGAAGCAGCUGACUUUUCCGGCCUGACAGAAAUUUGUGGUCACCAGCAGUAAGCAGGACUUCAACCUAUGCUUCUAGCAAGUUUUAUAAUUAACUUUCGGCAGGGCAGUUUAAGCAUAACUUCACAGUUCUGAUAGAAAUGUCCUGUAAGAACAAACAAAUCUUUCUGAAAAUAGCCUUUGGAGAGACAAAAUCUCCUGAGAAAUAGCUGUGGAAACUCUUUGUCAUCCAAAAGGACAUAAAGUCCCCCUAUGCAUCAGGACUUAACUGCAGUACAGCAGAUUUGCAUGGUAAGGUUUUUGACUGAUGAAAUAUGAAAGUAUUUUAACAAGUGAGCAGGUUACUUUGUGCUGUGCUAGCAAAAGGAUUUCAUGGAAAUGACCCCACACUGCUGGUCAAUAUCAGGAGCUUGCAGAACACAGCUCUUUUCUAUGGCAGAAGCGGAAAGUACUCAAGAAGCAAUCUGUACAUAAAUUCAGAUAGAUUCUGUCCAUGUGUGUGCAUUCAACCCCUUGCUUAUGUCCUCUUUUCACCUGCUAAGGAGCAGAGAGGAACUGGGGUCAAACUUGCAGCAGAAUAUUAUAUUUCAAGUUAGUAGAUUCAGUUGUAGGUUCACUUUAGAAUUUCCAGAGAUGUGUCUAGCACCCCAGGAUCGCUCUAUCUGGAGACCAUACAAAAAGAAUAAUAUGGUUGUUCUCAUGCAAUCAACCAGUAGGAAGGAGUCAAACAUGUUCUUUGUCAAAGCAGGAGUCACUAUACAGAAAUCAUAUUGUAUAAUCUUCACAGUGUCAGCUGACAGUAGGUUACUUCUUUUCAUCUAAUGUGUCUGUGGGGUAUUCCAUUUGUGUCAUCUGUAGUCUAAAGAAAUUCUGGUUACAUUUAAAUUCUGCUACUUUCAGAUUACGACCACAUGCUUUCUUGAAAAUGAAAGUACAUUCUACAUUGAAAACAAAAAUACAAUAGCAGGGAAAGAGUCUGUUGCAGUGCUGAUUUUCCUAGUCUCAAAUUUUGUGAAUGUAAAAGUCAGCAGUGGUUAACUUUACUGUGACACCCUCCCAAGCCAGUGAAUAAUGUAAGGAUUUUUUUGGUAGAGUCUAUAUGUUGAAAAUAACAAUCAAAAACAUUCUUCCUUUGAGGUGGGAGAGUAUGUGGAUAAUUUGAGGCUGAUAAUCCUUUCUACCAGCUUGUUACAUUGCCUUUACAGGAAGGUAAGAAGAUACAUACAGGGAGAUAUUUGCCCAAUAAAAUGUUGUGUUGGUCACUCA